rnacentral:rRNA from 1 species
UGGGGAAUAUUGCACAAUGGGCGAAAGCCUGAUGCAGCAACGCCGCGUGAGGGAUGACGGCCUUCGGGUUGUAAACCUCUUUUAGUAGGGAAGAAGCGAAAGUGACGGUACCUGCAGAAAAAGCACCGGCUAACUACGUGCGAGCAGCCGCGGUAAUACGUAGGGUGCAAGCGUUGUCCGGAAUUAUUGGGCGUAAAGAGCUCGUAGGCGGUUUGUCGCGUCUGCUGUGAAAUCCCGAGGCUCAACCUCGGGUCUGCAGUGGGUACGGGCAGACUAGAGUGUGGUAGGGGAGAUUGGAAUUCCUGGUGUAGCGGUGGAAUGCGCAGAUAUCAGGAGGAACACCGAUGGCGAAGGCAGAUCUCUGGGCCAUUACUGACGCUGAGGAGCGAAAGCAUGGGGAGCGAACA